rnacentral:sRNA from 1 species
CUCUGCUCUCAUGCGCAUCCUCACACGCUCCCGCGUGCUCAACGAGGAGCACCUGACGCUGGCGGGCGAGGAGAUCGUGGCCCAGGGCAAGCGCUCGGACCCACGGAGCCUGCUGUGCUAUGGCGGCGCCCCAGGGUCUGGCUGCCACUUCUCCAUCCCCUAGGCUUUCAGCAGGGCCCUGGCCAACCUCAGUGACGUGGUGCAGCUCAUCUUUCUGGUGGACUCCAAUCCCUUUCCCUUUGGCUAUAUCAGCAACUACACCGUCUCCACCAAGGUGGCCUCGAUGGCGUUCCAGACACGGGCCGGCGCCCAGAUCCCCAUCGAGCGGCUGGCCUCAGAGCGCGCCAUCACCAUGAAGGUGCCCAACAACUCGGACUGGGCUGCCCGGGGCCACCGCAGCUCUGCCAACUCCGUUGUGGUCCAGCCCCAGGCCUCCGUCGGUGCUGUGGUCACCCUGGACAGCAGCAACUCUGCGGCCGUGCUGCAUCUGCAGCUCAACUAUACGCUGCUGGACGGCCGCUACCUGUCUGAGGAAUCCGAGCCCUACCUGGCAGUCUAUCUGCACUCGGAGCCCCGGCCCAAUGAGCACAACUGCUCGGCUAGCAGGAGGAUCCGCCCAGAGUCACUCCAGGGUGCCGACCACCGGCCCUACACCUUCUUCAUUUCCCCGGGGAGCAGAGACCCAGUGGGGAGUUACCAUCUGAACCUCUCCAGCCACUUCCGCUGGUCGGCGCUGGAGGUGUCCGUGGGCCUGUACGCGUCCCUGUGCCAGUACUUCAGCGAGGAGGACAUGGUGUGGCGGACAGAGGGGCUGCUGCCCCUGGAGGAGACCUCGCCCCGCCAGGCCGUCUGCCUCACCCGCCACCUCACCGCCUUCGGCGCCAGCCUCUUCGUGCCCCCAAGCCAUGUCCGCUUUGUCUUUCCUGAGCCGACAGCGGAUGUAAACUACAUCGUCAUGCUGACAUGUGCUGUGUGCCUGGUGACCUACAUGGUCAUGGCCGCCAUCCUGCACAAGCUGGACCAGUUGGAUGCCAGCCGGGGCCGCGCCAUCCCCUUCUGUAGGCAGCGGGGCCGCUUCAAGUACGAGAUCCUCGUCAAGACAGGCUGGGGCCGGGGCUCAGGUACCACGGCCCACGUGGGCAUCAUGCUGUAUGGGGUGGACAGCCGGAGCAGCCACUGGCACCUGGACGGCGACAGAGCCUUCCACCGCAACAGCCUGGACAUCUUCCGGAUCGCCACCCGCACAGCCUGGGUAGCGUGUGGAAGAUCCAAGUGUGGCACAACAACAAAGGGCUCAGCCCUGCCUGGUUCCUGCAGCACAUCAUCGUCAGGGACCUGCAGACGGCACACAGCACCUUCUUCCUGGUCAAUGACUGGCUUUCGGUGGAGACGGAGGCCAACGGGGGCCUGGUGGAGAAGGAGAUGCUGGCUGCGAGCGACGCAGCCCUGUUGCGCUUCCGGCGCCUGCUGGUGGCUGAGCUGCAGCGCGGCUUCUUUGACAAGCACAUCUGGCUCUCCAUAUGGGACCGGCUGCCUCGUAGCUGUUUCACUCGCAUCCAGAGGGCCACCUGCUGCGUUCUUCUCAUCUGCCUCUUCCUGGGCGCCAACGCCGUGUGGUACGGGGCUGUUGGUGACUCUGCCUACAGCACGGGGCGUGUGUCCAGGCUGAGCCCGCUGAGCGUCGACACAGUCGCUGUUGGCCUGGUGUCCAGCGUGGUUGUCUAUCCCGUCUACCUGGCCAUCCUCUUUCUCUUCUGGAUGUCCCGGAGCAAGGUGGCUGGGAGCCCGAGCCCCACACCUGCCGGGCAGCAGGUGCUGGACAUUGAAAGCUGCCUGGACUCGUCCAUGCUGGACAGCUCCUUCCUCACGUUCUAAGGCCUCCACGCUGAGGUUAUCAAUACUUGGUGACUUCGUCAUCGUGGACUGACUUUGGUGGAAGUCUUCGGUUUAUUAUCAUUACUGUGUUUCUGAGAAGUUAUAAAUUUGCCAUCUCCCUCCGCACAAGUUACCUUUCU